AUUGAACGCUGGCGGCAUGCCUUACACAUGCAAGUCGAACGGCAGCACGGGGGCAACCCUGGUGGCGAGUGGCGAACGGGUGAGUAACACAUCGGAACGUGCCCAGUAGUGGGGGAUAGCUCGGCGAAAGCCGGAUUAAUACCGCAUACGACCUACGGGUGAAAGCGGGGGAUCGCAAGACCUCGCGCUAUCGGAGCGGCCGAUGUCAGAUUAGGUUGUUGGGGGGUAAAGGCCUACCAAGCCGACGAUCUGUAGCUGGUCUGAGAGGACGACCAGCCACACUGGGACUGAGACACGGCCCAGACUCCUACGGGAGGCAGCAGUGGGGAAUUUUGGACAAUGGGCGCAAGCCUGAUCCAGCCAUGCCGCGUGCGGGAAGAAGG
rnacentral:rRNA from 1 species